rnacentral:misc_RNA from 1 species
GGAAAGCGUGCUGCCUGGCGUGUGCAUUGCUCCGAUCAAGUCGGGCGGGUAUGCUAGCCGGGUGGUGGAUGACGGACAAGCAGGGUCGAUCGAUGUAGGGGAUUUGUAUGCUGAUGAGGAGAGGGACUUUCUUGUGUCGGUCAGUGUUCCGCCCGUGGCUGGUGAUGAGGUUAUACUUUUGAGGGUGGGGUGUGCGUAUAGAGACCCCGUGUCAAAGGAGAUGGUCAGUUUGGGUGGCGAGGAGGUGAGGAUCCGACGACCGGAGGUGGUUGUGGGACAGACAUUGUCGAUCGAGGUGGAUCGGGAGAGGAAUCGUGUCCAGGCCGCCGAGGCGAUGGC